rnacentral:rRNA from 1 species
GGGCAGCAAUGUCACCGUCGUACGGGUGCGUAACGCGUAUGCAACCUACCUAUCACUGGGGGAUAGCCCGGGGAAACCCGGAUUAAUACCGCAUAACACAGGGGCUCCACAUGGAGAUAUUUGUUAAAGAUUUAUCGGUGGUAGAUGGGCAUGCGUUCGAUUAGCUAGUUGGCGGGGUAACGGCCCACCAAGGCGACGAUCGAUAGGGGAGCUGAGAGGUUGAUCCCCCACACGGGCACUGAGAUACGGGCCCGACUCCUAC